rnacentral:rRNA from 1 species
GGAGUUUGGGCCGUGUCUCAGUCCCAAUGUGGCCGAUCACCCUCUCAGGUCGGCUAUAGAUCGUCGCCUUGGUGAGCCGUUACCUCACCAACCAGCUAAUCUAACGCGGGUCCAUCUCAUGCCGAUAAAUCUUUUACCAUUGCACCAUGCGGUACUUGGUCUUAUGCGGUAUUAGCAGUCGUUUCCAACUGUUGUCCCCCUGCAUGAGGCAGGUUACCCACGCGUUACUCACCCGUCCGCCACUAAGUCAUCAGAUCCAUUGACCGAAGUCUCCUUCACUGAUGCUUCGUUCGACUUGCAUGUGUUAAGCACGCCGCCAGCGUUCAUC